rnacentral:misc_RNA from 1 species
CUCUCAGGCUUACAAUUUUAGCCAAAUGAAAUGUAGUGAAAGGAAAAUUGUGACGUGCACAUAGCCCACAUCUCGCUCCACCCCUCCUCUAAAUAUGUCCUCUUUCAUAUAAACGUUUUUUAAAUAUUUAUACGGGAGUGAUUGGCCUAGAAAUAAAAACACCCUUGAUUCGUGUUUUUGUGAUUUGAAAAUUAAUUGAGUUUUAUUAGAUUUGCUUCUGGUACAAUACAAUAACGUGUUGGAAGACAUAGUUAUGUAGACACGGAGCACGAUUACUAAGUUACAAUUAAAUAUUGAAAGUUAAAAUACUUCUAAAGUGAUAUCAUGAAUAAUCCAUAUCGUGCCAGAUCAGGUAAACUGCGAGCAGAUCAUACUGCUUCGGUUGGAGUGUCAAAAUAUGGUUUACAAAAUCAAAACUCUUGGCCUGCUAUGCCCCCCAAUAUGCAACCAAUCAAUCCAUAUCCAUCUCAAUCAGCCGUAAAUCAAACAAAUAAUGCUGGCGAUCCCUGGGAUUGGGGUUCUGAAAAUAUUGACAAUGGUAACGACGCUUGGAAUUGGAGUAUUGAUCAGUCAGCUGAGACACAAUCUCAACUACUUCAGCAACAACCACAACAACAACAAUUGAUUUCUACUUAUCCGAAUUUGAGGCCAAAUCAACAGAAUUCAACUCAUGAUAAUUUUUAUACUAAUAUUAAUGGCAAUAACCAAACUAUUCCUCUAACUCCAAAUCAAUUAUCAGGUAGAAAUACACCACGAACUGGUCCAAGUAAGGAAUCAACUCCAAGCCAACCUGAUUCAUUCAAUCAGUAUUCGAAUUAUAAUUUAAAUCAACAACCACCAAGAACUGAUUCUGUCAAAAGUUGUUCGAUUACAAAUGAAAAUCAAAAUCUUCAACACAUAAAUUGUUAUUUCCCCCCAGUUUCAUCGCCAUUUGAUUUAACUAAUCAAACUGUUAGUACCCAAAAAUUUUCUUUAAAUAAUAACAAUUCAAAUAGUGCCAACCAGUCAAAUAUUCCAGCACAAAAUUGGCAAAUUCCAACACCGAAUACUUCGACUUAUUGGACAGAUCCUAAUUCUAAAAAGGAAAAUGUUUCUAUGAUUGAUACUCAAUGGGCACAAGUACAACAUCAACCAUCCCAAUUCUAUAAACAGCAACAAUUAAAUCACCAGUCACCGCCUCAGUUAACUGAAUUAUUACAACACCAACUAUUAAACCAACAUCCACAACAGCAGCAAUCAUCAGUAAAACAGCCAUCGCAUCAGCAGCAAUUAAAACGAAUAUCUCCUCCACCGCAGUUGCAUCAACUACAUAUAAAAUCAUCACAGAUUUCAAAUGUACCACAAAACUGCCAUGGAAAUCUUGAAACUAAUCAAUUAAAAGAGCCAAGUCAAGAAAUCGUUUUAUCAAAUAAACGAUAUGAAGGCAAUCAUGGAAAUGAAAUUGUUGAUCAGCGAAGUCAACAAAAUAAUUAUUCUCAGUUAGAGAAUUCUAAUAUUAGUUCGAAUCAAUUACGGCAACAUGCAUCCCUUUAUCCAACUCAUACGUGGCAAGAAAAAAAUUCUGAGUUAAACAAUAAAUUGAAAGACGUCAGUUUAGACAGUUUUUCUGAAGAAAAUAAACAUCUUCAAAAAGAUUGGCAAUCGAUUGGAUCUUCAUCAAUCAAUUUGGCUUCUUCAACUGGGGAAAUAGUAACUGCAGACAAAAAGUUAGAAGACUCACUACUUGAAGAGCAGAUUUCGGUAUUUUCUGAAUCGGAAAAUCACUCUGAUAAAUCUACACUCAUACCUGAGAUUAAAAGUAAUCUUAUGGAAUUGCAGCGUUCAGAAAAUAGAUCAAGCGACAUUGAACUUUUUAACGUUAAAGAAAAUACUAAUUCUAGCUGGAAUGCAGAAAAAGAUACGAAUUCAUUGAGUGAUUUAACUACAGGCGUAAAUCAAUUGAAUUUAGCUAGAAAACCUCACAACCUAUUUGAUGAUUUAAAAUCAUCAUUUCCACCACAAUCGUCUUCUCAAAUAAUAGAUCCGUGGCCUUCUCAAUCUACUAUAUCUCAUCCAAUUAUUCAUAAACCUCAAGAAAAAUUGACUGUUUCAAAUCAAUGUGUUGCUCAAUCUACAAUAAAUUCACAAGAACAUAUAACAACCACACCAUUUUCUGCUGCUCAAGAAUCUAAAAUUAAUCUUUCACAAGAGCAUACAAGUUUAACUCAGAUUGGUGUUCAACCACAUCUUCGUCAACAAGAAUAUUCUAAUAUUUAUAAUUGUCCUCUGGUACCAUCUUCUCUUCAUUCUCAUGAGUUUUCUACUCACAUUUCUAGUUCCAUAGUACAUCCGAAUGUCCAACAGUCACAUUCAUCGCAUUUUGAAUCUAUAGAAACUGUUUCCUUACAACCAAAUCCCAAAACUUCAGCUGAAAAUUUUCAUGCAUCUCUUGAAUCAAAAUCUAAUGAAGAGUCUAUGUCAUCAUCGAACUCCAUAGAAAUUUCUAACUCACAAGCAACUGAGGUUAUUUCUUCAACGAGUUAUGAUACUUGGUACAAUAAAACAACUACGCAUACUGCUGAUUUUAUUAAUGUUGAUACAUCAUCAUCCAAUUCUCAUGAUCAGAUUCCUGUUACUGAAUCAUCUAUAGAAGAUACUAAAGUUCCUACACCAUCUAAAGAAAUUUAUGAACCACUGCAACAAUCUCUCCAAUCUGACAUACAUUCUGAAAAUUAUGAGUUCGCUUCUAAUGAUAGAAAUACAUUUCUUGAAACUGGAGAGUUAACAGACUCUCAUCAUGAUCAAGAGUCUAUUAUAUUUCAGGAUGAUGAAAAUGAUGAAGUUCCAAGCGAUAUUCCGUUCAUACGAGAAGUGCCUGGACAAUCUAGUUCAAUAGAUCCUCGAAGAAAUCCGACUGGUCAAGAAGAAUAUUUACAAUUACAAUCUAAUUCUCGUUUAGUAGAUCCACGAAGAAACGACCUUUCUACUCAAAUUCAAGGAUUUAAUAUCAGAAAAUUGCCUUUAGAACGUUCUGAACGUCGAGAUGUUCCAUCAGGUCAAGAAAGACAAGGCAGUGGACUAUCUCCUCAAGAUACUGAAUCUUUAGAACGUAGAAAUGAUCCCUCUGGUAGAGAACAAUCUCUUCCACCUUCACAAUCAAGAAAUGACCCUUCCGGGGAAGAAAGAGCUAUUAAUGAUUCUCAAAUUAUUUUAGAACCAACAGAAAUAAGAGAAAUCCCUGGAAGUAGAGUUGAUUCUACUGAACUAACUUCUACUGUUGAUGAAAUACGACAAAUAACUGGUGGAAUUUCAACACUUGAACCACUAACUGUUUCAGACAAUAAUGCAAGAGUAGUACCUGGAUCUCAGGAAACAUUAGUUUCUGCAAAACAAGAUAUAUCAAAUGAAACAAGAAAUAAACGAGAAGAAGCUGUCGGUGCUCCAAUAAGAGAAGAUGUAACUUUAGUGUCAAGUUCUCCUAAACGUAGAGACUCUUAUGAAGAUGGAGAUGACGAAGAAUCUGGGAAUAGUCGUGAUGAUAAUCGAGAUAGACGUAGGGAUCAAAGCCCUACUGAUAGACGUCGAUUUGAUUACGAUAGAAAAGGAGAUAGAAACUAUUAUGAUCGUGAUCGUAAAUACGAUGAUGAUUAUUAUUACGAACGACGACGGGGUCAUGAUUAUGAUCGAUCAUACACUUCAAGAGAGGAUUUGGACCGACGUGAAACAUCAUUUAGAGAUGGAGAUAGAAGAUUGCCUAAUAGGGAUGAUUUAGAUGAUCGAAGAAGAAUAAAAGAUGAUGAUGAAAGGGAUGGAAGAAGGAGAGAAGAUCGAAGAGGACAUUGGAAUGAUUCUAGAUCUCGUGAACAUAGAGAUUAUGAUGCUAGAUUUUCAAGAGAUGUUCGAGACAGAGAACAUUUAGAUCGUGAUCGUAGACGAGACGGCAGGCGACGUUGGUAUGAUGAAUACGAUCCUCGAGAUCUUCGUCGUGAUUAUUUUGAUGAUCCUUACACCAAAGGUUCAAGACCUUCAAGCAGAUCAUCUUACAACGAUCGAGAUAGAGAUUAUUACAUGAGAGUUAGAGAUCCUUAUUAUGGAUAUAAUCCAGAUGUUUAUGGUUCUUAUGAUUAUGGGGCUAAUUACUAUGCGUAUUUAGAGAAUUUGCGGCGAACUAAUCCUACUGCUUACAUGGAAUGGUAUAAUAAAUAUUACGCUGCUCAACAACAACAUCCUGUAGUACGGGGAGUUUCGACUUAUCCUGAAGAUCGGGCUAGCGUUCAUUCUGGACGAAGCUCCUGCGAAGACAGGACAACAAGUGGAAAACAAACAAUAGGAGACAUAUCUCUUUUAGAAGACGCAAAAGCAGUCUCCCGAUUAACUCCAACAAAAUUUUCUACAUCUCAUGUUCAGGGAUCUUUUUCAAUUGGUUCAUUAGUACACGUUCAUCCCAGUUAUCCUGCAGAAGGUGAACGAGCUAGAGUAGAUAUUGUGCGACUGGAUAGUCUUCUUAUGCAUGAUCCUAUUGCAAGAGAAUUGCGGGCGUAUCCAGGACCAUUAAUCAAGGGUGUAACACAUAAGAAAACGAUUAUUGAAUAUUGUGAAGCGAAAAUUAAAAAAGCUUCAACAAACGAUGACCUCAUUGAUCGUGCAUCGUAUAUUCUAUUGUAUCAGUUAAUGAUCAUGCUUAUUCAACAGAAUGGAAAUGUUGUAGGAGUAGAUAUUGCUACUCUAUUACUUCAAAAUAAGGAAGCUUAUCCUCAUGAAGUCAAUGGAAAUAAAAAUGAAUCUAUGAGACGUGAAUCAACAAUAUCUCAAAGAUCUGGGGGAAAAGAAGGUUCAGUUCAUGAAGAUGCUCCUCAGGAGAUUGAAAAUACAAAACAACAAAAAACAAUUGAACAAAUGACAAAUGAAUUUAGAAACACUUUAAUUUAUGGUUUAGUUCAAGAGGCGCUUGAAUAUGCAAUGAAUGAAGGUCUUUGGGGUCAUGCAUUAUUCCUUGCUAGUAAAUUAGAUAAAAGAACGCAUGCAUCAGUUAUGACACGAUUCGCCAACAGUUUACCUGCUCAAGAUCCUCUUCAAACUUUGUAUCAACUUCAUUCGGGUCGCGUACCGGCAAGUGUAACUUGUGUAUCGGAUCCCAAAUGGGAUGAUUGGCGUCCACAUUUAGCAAUGAUUAUUUCUAACACCUCAGCAAAUCCUGAAAUUAAUCGUCGAGCAAUCACGACCCUUGGAGAUACAUUGGUUGCUCGGGGCGAUAUUUAUGCAGCUCACUUCUGUUACAUUCUUGCUCAAAUUGAAUUUGGAACUUAUGGAUCUUCAGGAGUUAAACUUGUCUUGAUUGGUGCUAAUCAUCAUAAGCUUUAUAGAGAUUUCGCAACUUUUGAAGCAAUUAUGUUAACAGAAAUUUAUGAAUAUGCUAGAAAUCUUAGUGAAUCAGAAUUUACAUUAGUAGGAUUACAAAUUUUCAAACUAGAAACUGCUCAACGAAUGGUAGAUUAUGGACUGAUUGAGAAAGCACUAUUGUAUCUUGAACAAAUUGCUGUAAAUAUUGUAAAGGAACCACCAAAGUACAAACAGUCGUUUGUUAAUGAUGUCUAUACCUUGAGUGAACGAAUUAAAUUUCACGAUCCUGUUUUCAAAGAUUGUAUAGAGGAUGAAACAACUUUAGCUUGGUUGUACAAUUUAAAAGAGAUUGUUCACCGAUGUCAAGCAGGUGAUAUUAUUCAAAAUGUUAAUAAUACAUGCGUAAAUUCACAAAAUAAUUUACCAGACACAUCUCAACGUGAAAUUCAGCCACCAUCGCAAAUUCAACAGCAACAACAACCACAGCAACAGCAAUGGAAUUAUACAGCAACCCAAGACUAUGGGAAUGCACCAAGUUCUAUGAUGGAAAUUCCAACAAUAGAUCCAUCUCAGGAUCAAUGGCAACCAAUGUCACUUCAAACGACAAUCCAAGAUACAUACAGUAAUGAUCAAAAUACUCAAUAUACACAGAAUAUUAAUGUUAAUCAAUAUCAUCAACAACAACCACAAGAUUAUUGGGGUCAACAAGUGUAUAAUCAACAAGAUUAUGCUAAAGAUUAUUCUACUAGUGAUUGGCAACAACAACAAUCAAAUCAAGUUUAUCCUCAAGAACAAAAUGAUGUCGACUCUGCUCAACAAUCAGGAGGAUGGAACUACGAGUCGGAAAAGGAAGAAAAGCUAGUAACACCUGAACCAAAGCCACAAAUUUCUAUGGGAUCAUCUACGGGCAAACAGUACGACCCUUUAGAAGAAUUAGAUGCUUUGGAGUCACCGUCUGAAGUAUCUAAAUCUACUAUUGAAACAAAAAAACCUCAAGACAAACAACCAGAAAAGAAAGCGUCGAAUUCAGGAGGAUCAUGGUUUGGCGGACUUUUUAGCAAAUUAACACCAAAACCGAGGAAUCAGAUGAUUUUGCCAGAUGAUGAUAAUCCUACAAUUAUUUGGGAUCCGAUAGCAAAAAAAUGGGUAAAUAAAGAUGAUGAUGGAGAUAGUGCAUCAUUACGUUUAGCACCACCACCAAAAAUGUCAGAGCUUAAUUUGAAAACUUCGAUAACAACUGAACAAAAUCUGUCAACACAAGAAUCGACAGUACGACCUCCCAGUACAGAUUCAAAAACUCCUAAUUCUUCAAAAAUGAUUGCCGGUAGCAGCAAUAUGUUUAAAUUACAAAAAGGAAGAAAUAUGAGAGCUAAUUACAUUGAUGUCAUGAAUCCUGGUGGAGUAAAAAGUAAUGGACCUCCGUCAGCUAUUCCGACACCUGCAGCGUCGCCAUUAAUGCAACCCAUGGCUGCAUCUUCACCACAAUUAUUUGUUCCUGCACCAGUAAACGAUCCUAAUGCUCCAGUAGAUUUUUUAACUACUUUACAAACAACAAGACCUUCAGGUGAUACGACGACGUCUCAAGGAUCGGGGAACCAGAAUGAUGUAGCCAAAUAACAAUUAUUAUCAAUACUCUCUCGGUGGAGCUCAGCUAGUUCACUAUCACGCGAGGUACAGAGCUACACCAUGAGGGAUCCGCGUCUUCAUCAACGGAUCAAGGGACCAAUGAUGUACAAUCCAGCAGAAGUGAAAGAAAAUCCCAUGAAAAACG